UAGGUAACACCAGCAGCGAGGACCUGGACAGGUUCAGCGAGCGUUUCAUUGACCCCAAAGACAAGGACCAGCAGGAGGACACGGGGGGGCAGCUGGAGGGACAGGAAGUGACUGUUACCAUGGUAACUAACCCACGGACCACAGAGCGAGGCUGGGUGGAAAGUCGUAACUCCGCAUCGCUUCCUGUUUCUCUGGAAGUGAAGACACUCGUCUUGGCGAUCCUGAUCAGCGUGAACCUGCAGCUACAACACACACUGUGACACACUGUGACACACACACACUUCAGGUGACGAUCAGUUGUAUCCUGCAGAGUCCAGUGGGGGUAGCAUGAUCUGAGGAGGGGGGGGUCACUUCCUGUGACCUCUGACCUCUGUGGAGACCAGCCCCGGUUCCCCCAGCGUGGGCUUCCAGGCGGACCAGCUCAGCCAAUCACAGAGCGUUUACAGUUCCCUGCACUGAGUCCCAGACUCUCCUUAUUAAUAUCAACACACAUCACGUUAGUCACCUUUUCACCAUUUAUUCAAAUCUUCUCUCCAUGGUGAGCUCAUCCUAUAUGGAAGCUCAUUAAUAUGAAUUCAUUAAUUUUAUAAUAUGAAGUUAACUGAGUUAUAACUAUAUAUUCAGACGUCAGCCGAGUUGACCAAGUCGAGACUCAAAUACUCAAAAUAAAAUAAACUUUAUUAUAUUAUAAGACAAGGAAUUCACAGAGAAAGCAAAAUGACAUUUUGCAUGUCAACAUUUUUUUUAUAGAGUACAAAUUUGAAUUAAAAUCAUUUAUUAUGAAUAUCAUGUUGGACAUUCUCCCACUCUGAAUACUUUUUAUACAGAUGUACAAGUUUUACUGCAGUACUGCAUUAUUAUUAAUGAACUUCCACAUUUGUUUCAUUAGAAAGAAAGAAAGAACUUUAUUUAUAAUGUUGAUCUUCUUGUUGACGUAAACUUAAAAAAAAACUAUGCAUACACUAAAAGGGAAAGAAGGGAAUUCAGGCUCAUAUUAGCAACUUUAUUUAAUAUGAAUAAUAAUUCACUAUGUAUUUCAUCUCUGGUCACAUCCACUUCUCUACAGCGACACUUUGUAACAAAGCACUUCUCAGAUUAUUUUGGUAUUUUCUGUUAUAGAUGGAAGCAAUGUGUGCCUUCAAAUUAAAAGCCUGAAUGCUGGGAAAACA